rnacentral:lncRNA from 1 species
UUGAUAAAGAGCAUACAAAAUCUAAGGAAGAGAAAAAACAUAAAGAUGAAGAUAAAUCAAAGAAAGCGAAGGAAAAAAAGGGAGAAAAGGAAGACGAAGAAGGAGAAAAGAAAGGCAAAGAUUUGAAAGCUAAAGGGAAGGAUGGUGAAGAGAAAAAGGAAAAAGAUAAGAAGAAAAAGGAAAAGGGGAAAGAAGAUGAUGAAGAGAAGAAGGAAAAGAAGAAGGAAAAGGAUGACAAAAUUGAUGUAGAAAAUGAUAAGGAUGGAAAAGAUGAUGGGGAGGAUGGUGAAAAGAAGAACAAGGAGAAGAAGAAAAAGGAAAAGAAGGACAAAGAAAACGAAGGAAAUGACGAUGAAGAGAAGAAGAAAAAGAAAGAGAAGGAGAAGAAAAAGGAAAAGAAGAACAAGGAUGAAGAAACAGACGCAUCAAAGGAAAAGGGAAAAGAUGAUGAAGUUGAGGAUGAAGAAGAAAAUCAGAAAAAGAAGAAAAAGGAUAAGAAGGAGAAGAAGGAGAAAGACAAGGAUCACAAAAAGGAAAAGAAGGAGGGUGGGAAAGAUGAUGGCAAGGUUGAAGUUUCUGUAAGGGAUAUUGAUAUAGAAGAA